CCAGCCCGUGCGGCGAGGCAGAGAGUAAAUCACAAGGGCAGCACAGGUCCCAGCCAGUGAAGCGAGGCAGAGAGUAAAUCACAAGCGCAGUACAGGUCCCAGCCCGUGUGGCGAGGCAGAGAGUAAAUCACAAGGGCAGCACAGGUCCCAGCCAGUGAAGCGAGGCAGAGAGUAAAUCACAAGCGCAGUACAGGUCCCAGCCCGUGCGGCGAGGCAGAGAGUAAAUCACAAGCGCAGUACCGAUCC